AAAAAAGCAUAAAACGAACCUCAUAUAGAGCGAUAAUACGGAUCGUUCGUCUCUACCUGGUCGCCGUAAAUGACCGGACUAUGAGGGGAGACACCCGGGAU
rnacentral:ncRNA from 1 species